rnacentral:rRNA from 1 species
CCUUAGUAACGGCGAGUGAACCGGGAUGAGCUCAAAUUUAAAAUCUGGCGUCUUUCAGGCGUCCGAGUUGUAAUCUAUAGAGGCGUUUUCCGCGCCGGACCGCGUCCAAGUCUCUUGGAAUAGAGUAUCAAAGAGGGUGACAAUCCCGUACUUGACGCGACAACCGGUGCUCUGUGAUACGUUCUCAAUGAGUCGAGUUGUUUGGGAAUGCAGCUCUAAAUGGGUGGUAAAUUCCAUCUAAGGCUAAAUAUUGGCGAGAGACCGAUAGCGAACAAGUACCGUGAGGGAAAGAUGAAAAGCACUUUGGAAAGAGAGUUAAACAGCACGUGAAAUUGUUAAAAGGGAAACGAUUGAAGUCAGUCGUGUGAAAGGUAUUCAGCCGUCUCUGGCGGUGUAUUUGCCUUUCACGGGUCAACAUCAGUUUGAUCCGGUAGAAAAAGGCGGGAGGAAGGUGGCACCCUCGGGUGUGUUAUAGCCUCCUGUCAUAUGUGCCGGACCAGACUGAGGAACGCAGCUUGCCGCAAGGCCGGGGUUCGCCCACGUACAAGCUUAGGA